rnacentral:rRNA from 1 species
GAUGAACGCUAGCAACAGGCUUAACACAUGCAAGUCGAGGGGCAGCAUAGAAGUAGCAAUACUUUGGUGGCGACCGGCGCACGGGUGAGUAACGCGUAUGCAACCUACCUAUCAGAGGGGGAUAACCCGGCGAAAGUCGGACUAAUACCGCAUAAAACAGGGGCACCGCAUGGUGAUAUUUGUUAAAGAUUAAUUGCUGAUAGAUGGGCAUGCGUUCCAUUAGGUAGUUGGUGAGGUAAUGGCUCACCAAGCCGACGAUGGAUAGGGGAACUGAGAGGUUGGUCCCCCACACUGGUACUGAGACACGGACCAGACUCCUACGGGAGGCAGCAGUGAGGAAUAUUGGUCAAUGGGCGAGAGCCUGAACCAGCCAAGUCGCGUGAAGGAAGAAGGAUCUAUGGUUCGUAAACUUCUUCUGCAGGGGAAUAAAGUGGAGGACGUGUCCUCUUUUGUAUGUACCCUGAGAAUAAGGAUCGGCUAACUCCGUGCCAGCAGCCGCAGUAA